UCUUUAAAAAUAAAGAAUGCUGCAGUGAGAGGAAGUUGUCUCUGCUUACGCUGAGGCUCAGGGCUGUCCGCUCGAUCAGUAUAACAGCGCAGGCAGAGAGGACGAGGAGUGCACACGGGAGAGAACUGACGGAGGCGACGGGCGAAGAUGGCGAUUCGGCGCGGUCGGAGCGAGAAGAGCUCAUUAAAACGACGAAUAUUAACGAAGAGAAUGGCGUCGACCUGUUCAGAUGAAAGAGCAGAUCGCAACGGUGGGAACAUGGAAAACUGUGAAGAUUUCAACUGACAGCAACGAAGAGAAACAAGGAUUUAACUGUCUACGCAUUUUAAAUUCGCUUUGUCCUUGAGAGGACAAAAUGUCCUUGUAACAUUCGAAAGCGGAAAAAAUAUAUUUAACGCAAAUAUUGUUGUAAUAAUGCAAUUUUGGAAGUUCCAAUGCCAGUCUCAACAUUUUGAGUGUCUUUUGUUGAUUUCAAAUGUUUUCUUUGAAUAAACAAUUUUAUUGAACGUUUUAAUGCAUUUAUUGUGUGUUAAUUAUUGAAAAAUAUUUGCUUUUUUCCUGAUGUACAUUGUUUUGAACUUCUUCAGAGAACAUUGUGAAUAUGUCAACUUGCCAUAGGAUUUAGCACAUAAUUUUGAUGUUUUACAUUAUUUUAAGAUUCUAUUGUUAUCUGGUUAAAAAGUAACGGUUAAACAUUUGUUCAUUUUAUGCUUGUUUUCCACUUGGUAAUGAACUUAAAUAAAGAUAUCCACUUGUAUUUCUUGUGUUUUGAAUAACAUUUAUGCUGUAUUUUUCGACGUUAAAUAAUAGGGUGUUGGCUUUUAACCCAUUGUACUCCACAAGAACACUUUAUAAUUUUUAAAAAAUGUAGAAACUUGUUUCUUUAUUUCUGUUUUUUCCUUUUUAGUCAGAGAUUCAUAUGAAGUACAUUUUCACCUGAUUAGUGCUGUUUUAAAGUAAUAAUUGUCUUAAAAUUGUACAGAGAUUAUUGCUCAAUGUAAAAAAAAGUCAAAUUAAACCUGGAAUUUCUCUUUUCCCCUCUGGUUGUUGUCACAAUAUCAUAAAAAUGUAUAACCUAGAAAGUAAUGCACUUAAGUUUGUCUUUAUUUCAAGUGUAAAAUGUUAGGUUUGAUACAUCUUGAGGUCUUUGCUAUAUAUGUUUAUAGGAUCAACUGUUGAGAAAACAAAGGCUGCUAUAAAUAUUGCAUGUAGGAAUAAAUGAAAAUAAAACACGAGCCCUCAGUAAUGUUUCUAUAUGAAAGAGGUUUCUGAUUUAUGUAUAUUCUUUGGUGUAUUAUGAUAUAUUAUGUUAUGUAUUUGAACAAUUUUAAACAAUAGUACUUGCAAUUUAUCUGGACGCUAAUCGUAUUUCAUGUAGAGAAACCACAUGACUAAAGUAGAUGUUUCUUUUGAACAUUUUGACGCUCAAGUGAGCGUUACCAUGUAAAGGAGACAAUGUAAUACUAAUUGUCGAAAUUGUUUUUUGUGUACAGGAAUCAGAACAGCUGGAUGAAAGAUGA